rnacentral:rRNA from 1 species
CGCGAAGAACCUUACCAGGUCUUGACAUCCUUUGACCAUCCUAGAGAUAGGACUUUCCCUUCGGGGACAAAGUGACAGGUGGUGCAUGGUUGUCGUCAGCUCGUGUCGUGAGAUGUUGGGUUAAGUCCCGCAACGAGCGCAACCCUUAUUGUUAGUUGCCAUCAUUCAGUUGGGCACUCUAGCGAGACUGCCGCAGACAAUGCGGAGGAAGGUGGGGAUGACGUCAAAUCAUCAUGCCCCUUAUGACCUGGGCUACACACGUGCUACAAUGGAGAGUACAACGAGUUGCGAAGUCGUGAGGCUAAGCUAAUCUCUUAAAGCUCUUCUCAGUUCGGAUUGUAGGCUGCAACUCGCCUACAUGAAGCCGGAAUCGCUAGUAAUCGCGGAUCAGCACGCCGCGGUGAAUACGUUCCCGGGUCUUGUACACACC